UACAGAGGGUGCGAGCGUUAAUCGGAAUUACUGGGCGUAAAGCGCGCGUAGGCGGCUUUGCAAGUCGGGUGUGAAAUCCCCAGGCUUAACCUGGGAACUGCAUUCGAGACUGCAUAGCUAGAGUAUGGGAGAGGGGAGUGGAAUUUCAGGUGUAGCGGUGAAAUGUGUAGAUAUCUGAAGGAACAUCAGUGGCGAAAGCGACUUCCUGGACCAAUACUGACGCUCAUGUGCGAAAGCGUGGGGAGCAAACAGG
rnacentral:rRNA from 1 species